CCUACGGGAGGCAGCAGUGAGGAAUAUUGGUCAAUGGACGCGAGCCUGAACCAGCCAAGUAGCGUGAAGGAUGACUGCCCUACGGGUUGUAAACUUCUUUUAUAAAGGAAUAAACUGAGGCACGUGUGCCUUUUUGUAUGUAUUUUAUGAAUAAGGAUCGGCUAACUCCGUGCCCGCAGCCGCGGUAAUACGGAGAAUCCGAGCGUUAUCCGGAUUUAUUGGGUUUAAAGGGAGCGUAGAUGGGUUGUUAAGUCAGUUGUGAAAGUGUGCGGCUCAACCGUAAAAUUGCAAUUGAUACUGGCAGCCUUGAGUACAGUUGAGGUAGGCGGAAUGCGUGGUGUAGCGGUGAAAUGCUGAGAGAUCACGAAGAACUCCGAUUGCGAAGGCAGCCUACUAAACUGCCACUGACAUUGAUGCUCGAAAGUGUGGGGAGCAAACAGGAUUAGAUACCCUAGUAGUC
rnacentral:rRNA from 1 species